GGUUAAGCGACUAAGCGUACACGGUGGAUGCCCUGGCAGUCAGAGGCGAUGAAGGACGUGCUAAUCUGCGAUAAGCGUCGGUAAGGUGAUAUGAACCGUUAUAACCGGCGAUUUCCGAAUGGGGAAACCCAGUGUGUUUCGACACACUAUCAUUAACUGAAUCCAUAGGUUAAUGAGGCGAACCGGGGGAACUGAAACAUCUAAGUACCCCGAGGAAAAGAAAUCAACCGAGAUUCCCCCAGUAGCGGCGAGCGAACGGGGAGCAGCCCAGAGCCUGAAUCAGUGUGUGUGUUAGUGGAAGCGUCUGGAAAGGCGCGCGAUACAGGGUGACAGCCCCGUACACAAAAAUGCACAUGCUGUGAGCUCGAUGAGUAGGGCGGGACACGUGGUAUCCUGUCUGAAUAUGGGGGGACCAUCCUCCAAGGCUAAAUACUCCUGACUGACCGAUAGUGAACCAGUACCGUGAGGGAAAGGCGAAAAGAACCCCGGCGAGGGGAGUGAAAAAGAACCUGAAACCGUGUACGUACAAGCAGUGGGAGCACGCUUCGGCGUGUGACUGCGUACCUUUUGUAUAAUGGGUCAGCGACUUAUAUUCUGUAGCAAGGUUAACCGAAUAGGGGAGCCGAAGGGAAACCGAGUCUUAACUGGGCGUUAAGUUGCAGGGUAUAGACCCGAAACCCGGUGAUCUAGCCAUGGGCAGGUUGAAGGUUGGGUAACACUAACUGGAGGACCGAACCGACUAAUGUUGAAAAAUUAGCGGAUGACUUGUGGCUGGGGGUGAAAGGCCAAUCAAACCGGGAGAUAGCUGGUUCUCCCCGAAAGCUAUUUAGGUAGCGCCUCGUGAAUUCAUCUCCGGGGGUAGAGCACUGUUUCGGCAAGGGGGUCAUCCCGACUUACCAACCCGAUGCAAACUGCGAAUACCGGAGAAUGUUAUCACGGGAGACACACGGCGGGUGCUAACGUCCGUCGUGAAGAGGGAAACAACCCAGACCGCCAGCUAAGGUCCCAAAGUCAUGGUUAAGUGGGAAACGAUGUGGGAAGGCCCAGACAGCCAGGAUGUUGGCUUAGAAGCAGCCAUCAUUUAAAGAAAGCGUAAUAGCUCACUGGUCGAGUCGGCCUGCGCGGAAGAUGUAACGGGGCUAAACCAUGCACCGAAGCUGCGGCAGCGACGCUGAUGCGUUGUUGGGUAGGGGAGCGUUCUGUAAGCCUGUGAAGGUGUGCUGUGAGGCAUGCUGGAGGUAUCAGAAGUGCGAAUGCUGACAUAAGUAACGAUAAAGCGGGUGAAAAGCCCGCUCGCCGGAAGACCAAGGGUUCCUGUCCAACGUUAAUCGGGGCAGGGUGAGUCGACCCCUAAGGCGAGGCCGAAAGGCGUAGUCGAUGGGAAACAGGUUAAUAUUCCUGUACUUGGUGUUACUGCGAAGGGGGGACGGAGAAGGCUAUGUUGGCCGGGCGACGGUUGUCCCGGUUUAAGCGUGUAGGCUGGUUUUCCAGGCAAAUCCGGAAAAUCAAGGCUGAGGCGUGAUGACGAGGCACUACGGUGCUGAAGCAACAAAUGCCCUGCUUCCAGGAAAAGCCUCUAAGCAUCAGGUAACAUCAAAUCGUACCCCAAACCGACACAGGUGGUCAGGUAGAGAAUACCAAGGCGCUUGAGAGAACUCGGGUGAAGGAACUAGGCAAAAUGGUGCCGUAACUUCGGGAGAAGGCACGCUGAUAUGUAGGUGA
rnacentral:rRNA from 1 species